rnacentral:rRNA from 1 species
UACAGAGGCCCCAAGCAUUACCCGGAAUCACUGGGCGUAAAGGGUGCGUAGGUGGCGUUAUUAGUCCUCCUUUAAAUCUUCAAGGCUCAACCUUGAAGCUCGGGGGGAAACGGUAACGCUCGAGGAUGUAAGAGGUGUGUGGAACUCUAGGUGUAGGGGUGAAAUCCGUUGAUAUCUAGGGGAACAUCGAAUGCGAAGGCAGCACACUGGGACAUUCCUGACACUGAGGCACGAAAGCGUGGGUAGCGAAAAGG